AGAGUUUGAUCCUGGCUCAGGACGAACGCUGGCGGCGUGCUUUACACAUGCAAGUCGAACGAGAACCUUCCUUUCGGGAAGCAGAGAGUGGCGAACGGGUGAGUAACACGUGGGCAACCUACCCCUCACACUGGGAUAACCUCGGGAAACCGGGGCUAAUACCGGAUAUUCACGACCUCGGGCAUCCGAGGACGUGGAAAGGAUUCUGGUGAGGGAUGGGCCCGCGGCCUAUCAGUUUGUUGGUGGGGUAAUGGCCUACCAAGACGACGACGGGUAGCCGGCCUGAGAGGGCGACCGGCCACACUGGGACUGAGACACGGCCCAGACUCCUACGGGAGGCUGCAGUGGGGAAUAUUGCGCAAUGGACGAAAGUCUGACGCAGCAACGCCGCGUGAGGGAUGAAGUACAUCGAGAUGUAAACCUCUUUCAGCAGGGACGAAGCGAAAGUGACGGUACCUGCAGAAGAAGCGCCGGCUAACUACGUGCCAGCAGCCGCGGUAAUACGUAGGGCGCAAGCGUUGUCCGGAUUUAUUGGGCGUAAAGGGCUCGUAGGCGGUUUGUCGCGUCGGAUGUGAAAACUCGGAGCUUAACUCCGGGCCUGCAUUCGAUACGGGCAGACUAGAGUUCGGUAGGGGAGACUGGAACUCCUGGUGUAGCGGUGGAAUGCGCAGAUAUCAGGAAGAACACCGAUGGCGAAGGCAGGUCUCUGGGCCGAUACUGACGCUGAGGAGCGAAAGCGUGGGGAGCGAACAGGAUUAGAUACCCUGGUAGUCCACGCCGUAAACGGUGGGCGCUAGGUGUGGGGAACUAUCUACGUUUUCCGCGCCGCAGCUAACGCAUUAAGCGCCCCGCCUGGGGAGUACGGCCGCAAGGCUAAAACUCAAAGGAAUUGAC
rnacentral:rRNA from 1 species